GCAGGGUAAUGGAUUUAUGGCACAUCCUUCUCUGUGGGCCUGUCAUAGUGUACACAUGCCAGAACUGCAGCCUCGAACCAUUGCGUAGCUUUCUGGCCUGUGGGCUAUGAGCACUGAAAAAGGUGGCACAAUU
rnacentral:snoRNA from 1 species